AGUUAAUCAUGGCUCAGGAUGAACGCUAGCGGCAGGCUUAACACAUGCAAGUCGAGGGGCAGCGGGAUGUAGCAAUACAUUGCCGGCGACCGGCGGAUGGGUGCGUAACGCGUAUGCAACCUACCUUAUACAGGGGAAUAACCUUUCGAAAGGGAGACUAACACCCCAUAGUAUUGAUUUAAGGCAUCUUAGAUUAAUUAAAUAUUUAUAGGUAUAAGAUGGGCAUGCGUAUGAUUAGCUAGUUGGUAAGGUAACGGCUUACCAAGGCGACGAUCAUUAGGGGUUCUGAGAGGAAGGUCCCCCCACACUGGUGCUGAGACACGGACCAGACUCCUACGGGAGGCAGCAGUGAGGAAUAUUGGUCAAUGGGCGCAAGCCUGAACCAGCCAUGCCGCGUGCAGGAAAGACGGCCUUAUGGGUUGUAAACUGCUUUUACAUAAGACUAACCGUAUAUUUGCGAAUAUACCUGAAUGUAUUAUGAGAAUAAGGAUCGGCUGACUCCGUGCCAGCCGCAGC
rnacentral:rRNA from 1 species